CUUGUGUCUUUACCUCUGAAGCUCAAGAAAAUGUGGUAAGCAGAUGAAGAAGUGGAAGAGAAGGCUUCUUGGGAUGUCACAGCAGCCAUUUAACGAGGGUCUAAGAGAUCAUUGAGGACUGAGUGUAUACUAUAGAUUUCCCAGCGGUGGCUAUGGUGUCUCCUCGGCAGAGGUGUGCCUAGAGGUGGCGUGGUCAGCAGCUACGAGUGGGUGGCUGAAGUGCAGAGGCGUGUAUUGUUUCUUGCAGCAGAGGCGUGCUGGGUCAGGUCACACAGCAGAGGCGUGUUGGGAGUUGUAGCUGCAGAAGAGUGGUUUAGUGUUGUUAGCUUAUUUUGGGUGAUGGGUUAGUUCAUUUAGUUAGUUUUGGGUGUUUUUGGUGGGUUGAGUAUGUGGGGAUUCUUGUAUUUUAAGUUCUCUAGUUAAGUUCUUCUUAGCUCUUUUGGUUAAAAAAAAAAAAAAA